GUUGAGGAUGUCCAGAACAGUUAGGUGACAAAAAGUCACCUAACAAUCAGAAAGUGACUCUAGUGGCUGUCUGAUUGCAGUACAGAACUAUGGGUUUUACCAUUGCCUGCAUUGUGUGUGUGGGCUCACCAGGCAAGCUAUGCAUUGUGGGUUACAGGGGAACACAGGCAUGACUUGCCUUACUGUGCAAUCAGGGAAUGAUUUCAGAAAAUCUGUCAGGCUAGAGCAGGUUAUAGGCCUUGUGAUGAUGCAAUCCAUUGGUCGUCCGUAGCCCCGCCCCUUCACUCCGCUGUCGUGUUUUUCAUUACUCCUGGCUCUCUUCCACCACUUCAUGAAAACAUGGCUGCACAUUGCAGAGAAGAAC